CAUCUUACCAUUAGGAUGUGACUCCUCUAACAGUGGCCAUUAACUCUUCCUCUCCCUCUUUAUUUUCUUUCUUCUCUCUCUCUCCCUCUCUCUCCCUCUCUCUCCCUCUCUCUCUCUCUUUCUAAGGCUGGUGGCUCUGACUCACCUGGAUCUGAGUUUUAACCCCAUGACGUUUUUGGGUGAGAAGAGUGUGUCGAUGCCCAGACUCACACACCUGUCUGCGGCGCACAUGGCCCUGCAGGACGUGUCUGCGGCUGCGCUGGCUCUCUCUCCCCUCCUCUCUCGCCUGGACCUUAGUCAUAAUCAGCUUCACUAUCUCCAGCCACUCACAGGACCCGUCCAGCUACAGAGCAUCAACCUCGCCGCGAAUCCGGUGUGGUGUACAUGUGUGCUGCUGGAACUGCGAGCCUGGGCACGGAAAGGUGGGGUCAGACUGCUGGGAGACUGCGCCGGACCACCACACCUUUCAGAAGAGCCACUAGAGGCCGUGCUGGAGAAGGACCUGCGCUGCAGGAGACAGAAUGGAGGGAUAAAGGAGGAGGUGGAGGAGGAAGAGCGACUAGUGGUUGUGACCCAGGCUGAGCCAAAGAAAACGGAAAACUGUCCUGAGAACUGCCUUUGUGAGGUGUGUGUGUGAGUGUUCAUGUGUGUGUGAAGAGAGAGAGAAAGAAAGAAAGAAAGAAAAAAGAAAGGAAGAAAGAACAGGCAGGCAAUCAGGUCAGACUAAUGUGUAAGGUUUGCUUUCUUUGAGCAACGAUGCUAAAAAAAGUUAUGUAAGUAAUGAAAGAUUAUUUAUUUUUAAAUAUUUAUGUGCGUUUGUAAAUCUCUAAAAUAUUUGUUUAUUUGGUUUCUGACACUGUAUGUUGCACUGUUAUCUACAAACCAAAUCUGAUAAAGGAUAUGGAAAAUGCAAAGAAUAGAAGUUUCUUACACUUACUUUGAGAUGAUUUGAUUGCAGACAGUAUGAACCCAUGUUUUGUUAGCUAAACAUCAUACUUUUAUUAAUAUACAUUCAUUACUGCAUUUCAGACCUGUAUAACAUUCUAAAAAUAGUUGGGAGAAGCUUUUCCUCCUUUAUAUUGUGGCCAUUUCUUCUCUCAACUCAUUUAGGCACUGAAAACACCAGGCAAUGUGUUUCCGGCAUUUAUUUGUCCAGUUCUUUCAGCAAACACAUCCUAAGAUGUACAACAUUGCAGGGUUAUCAUUUUAUUUUUUUAUUUUUAAAUGAUUUACACAUUCUUUAUUGGAGACAGGUCUAUUUUUUACAGACAUGUCUUUUUAAGGUGCACAGCAUGUGGUUUUGCGUUGUCUUGUUGAAAGAGGGUAAAAUGUGUGAUCUUAAAGACAACGUAUGUUUCUCUGAGAUCUUCAGCUGUGAUUGGUCCAAGGGGCCUUACGCCCCCUCCCACACAUUCCCGUCUUUGCAGUUUGAACAACAGAGCGACGCAGAGCUGCUGCGCAGAAGUAUAAACACGCUCCAAUGUGCACACCCUGCAUAAGCUACGGCGUAGGUUCGACGCAGAAGUAUAAACGCGCUCCAAUGUGCACACCCUGCAUAAGCUACGGCGUAGGUUCGACGCAGAAGUAUAAACG
rnacentral:lncRNA from 1 species